rnacentral:rRNA from 1 species
AUUGAACGCUGGCGGAAUGCUUUACACAUGCAAGUCGAACGGCAGCACGGGGCAACCUGGUGGCGAGUGGCGAACGGGUGAGUAAUACAUCGGAACGUGCCCAAUCGUGGGGGAUAACGUAGCGAAAGUUACGCUAAUACCGCAUACGAUCUACGGAUGAAAGCGGGGGAUCGCAAGACCUCGCGCGAAUGGAGCGGCCGAUGUCAGAUUAGGUAGUUGGUGGGGUAAAGGCUCACCAAGCCGACGAUCUGUAGCUGGUCUGAGAGGACGACCAGCCACACUGGGACUGAGACACGGCCCAGACUCCUACGGGAGGCAGCAGUGGGAAUUUUGGACAAUGGGCGCAAGCCUGAUCCAGCCAUUCCGCGUGCAGGAUGAAAGGCCUUCGGUUGG